GACGAACGCUGGCGGCGUGCUUAAUACAUGCAAGUCAACUUGACUUUAGAUAGCAAUAUCGAAAAGUAGGGUGGCGCACGGGUGCGUAACGCGUAGGUAAUCUGCCCUGAGGUCUGACAUAACCCGUCGAAAGGCGGGCUAACAUCAGAUGAUAUAUAAUCACGACAUCGUGGAAAUAUCAAAUCUUCGGAGCCUUGGGAUGAGCCUGCGUCUGAUUAGGUAGUUGGCGGAGUAAUAGCCCACCAAGCCUACGAUCAGUAGCUGGUCUGAGAGGAUGAUCAGCCACACUGGAACUGAGACACGGUCCAGACUCCUACGGGAGGCAGCAGUAAGGAAUAUUGCUCAAUGGGGGAAACCCUGAAGCAGCAACGCCGCGUGAAGGAUGAAAUACUUUUGUAUGUAAACUUCUGUAAGAUGGGAAAAAUAUUACUCCUCGGGAGAAUUGAUUGUACCAUCAGAGUAAGCCCCGGCUAACUACGUGCCAGCAGCCG
rnacentral:rRNA from 1 species